UACGGAGGAUCCGAGCGUUAUCCGGAUUUAUUGGGUUUAAAGGGUGCGUAGGCGGCUUUAUAAGUCAGGGGUGAAAGAAGGCAGCUUAACUGUCGCAGUGCCUUUGAUACUGUAGAGCUUGAAUGUGAUUGAAGAUGGCGGAAUGAGACAAGUAGCGGUGAAAUGCAUAGAUAUGUCUCAGAACUCCAAUUGCGAAGGCAGCUGUCUAAGUCAAUAUUGACGCUGAUGCACGAAAGCGUGGGGAUCGAACAGG
rnacentral:rRNA from 1 species